rnacentral:sRNA from 1 species
UUUUUUUAAAAGGCUAUCUUUUACCCAUUGAAUUACCUUGAUCUAAAAGUCAAAAUCAAUGAACUAAGCAUGGACGCUUUUCUGGACUCAAAUUCCAUCUCUUUGUUCUGGUUACCUCAGAGUGAUUUUAAUUUCAGACUGACCUUAGAUAGUGAGUCCCACCCCAGCCAGAGCCCUGUGGCCUUUCUUUUCCAGGGGCACAAGUGGACCAGUCUGUCUUUGAGGAGCUCAUCAAGGGUCACCUCCCAGAGCUGGCGGAGCACAUGAACGACCUCUCAGCCCUGGCGUCCGUCUCUCUCUCGUGGUUCCUGACCCUGUUCCUCAGCAUCAUGCCUCUAGAGAGUGCGGUGAAUGUGGUAGAUUGCUUCUUCUACGAUGGCAUCAAAGCCAUCUUCCAGCUGGGACUGGCUGUGCUUGAGGCCAAUGCUGAGGACCUGUGCAGCAGCAAGGACGAUGGCCAGGCCUUGAUGAUCCUCAGCAGGUUUCUAGAUCACAUUAAGAAUGAGGACAGCCCAGGGCCCCCAGUUGGCAGCCACCAUGCCUUUUUCUCCGAUGACCAGGAGCCCUAC